UAAGGAAUAUUGGUCAAUGGACGCAAGUCUGAACCAGCCAUGCCGCGUGAAGGAUGAAGGCCCUCUGGGUUGUAAACUUCUUUUAUAGGGGACGAAAAAAGGGAAUUCUUUCUCACUUGACGGUACCCUAGGAAUAAGCACCGGCUAACUCCGUGCCAGCAGCCGCGGUAAUACGGAGGGUGCAAGCGUUAUCCGGAUUUACUGGGUUUAAAGGGUGCGUAGGUGGGUUGGUAAGUCAGUGGUGAAAUCUUCGAGCUUAACUCGGAAACUGCCAUUGAUACUAUCAAUCUUGAAUUAUCUGGAGGUGAGCGGAAUAUGUCAUGUAGCGGUGAAAUGCUUAGAGAUGACAUAGAACACCCAUUGCGAAGGCAGCUCACUACGGAUAUAUUGACACUGAGGCACGAAAGCGUGGGGAUCAAACAGGAUUAGAUACCCCCGUAGUCC
rnacentral:rRNA from 1 species